rnacentral:rRNA from 1 species
CCCUUAGACGUUCUGGGCUGCACGCGCGCUACACUGACCAGUGCAACAAGCAUCCGUCCUUGGCCGACAGGCCCGGGCAAUCUUUGAACGCUGGUCGUGAUGGGGAUAGACUUUUGCAAUUUUUGGUCUUCAACGAGGAAUUCCUAGUAAACGCAAGUCAUCAACUUGCAUUGAUUACGUCCCUGCCCUUUGUACACACCGCCCGUCGCACCUACCGAUUGAAUGGUCCGGUGAAGCCUCCGGAUUGGCGCGCACCCCGGUGCCGCCGAGAAGUUGGCUAAACCUUACCAUUUAGAGGAAGGUGAAGUCGUAACA